CAGGACGAACGCUGGCGGCGUGCCUAAUACAUGCAAGUCGAACGGUCUUUCUAUGGAAGCUUGCUUCCACUGAGAAGAUAGUGGCGAACGGGUGAGUAACACGUGGGUAACCUGCCCAUAAGAGGGGGAUAACAUCCGGAAACGGGUGCUAAUACCGCAUAGUUUCUUGAUUGCAUGAUUGAGAAAGGAAAGACGGCCUUUGUGCUGUCGCUUAUGGAUGGACCCGCGGCGUAUUAGUUAGUUGGUGAGGUAACGGCUCACCAAGACGAUGAUACGUAGCCGACCUGAGAGGGUGAUCGGCCACAUUGGGACUGAGACACGGCCCAAACUCCUACGGGAGGCAGCAGUAGGGAAUCUUCCGCAAUGGACGAAAGUCUGACGGAGCAACGCCGCGUGAGUGAAAGAAGGUUUUCGGAUCGUAAAACUCUGUUGUCAGAGAAGAACAAGUUGGAGAGUAACUGCUCCAGCCUUGACGGUAUCUGACCAGAAAGCCACGGCUAACUACGUGCCAGCCGCCGC
rnacentral:rRNA from 1 species